rnacentral:lncRNA from 12 species
CGGAGGACUUAACUUACUCUUGCCUAAUCCUUGACCAUUUCAGCAGCCCCUGGAGAUGGUGCUUGUGUUGGAAAUUCGAUGAAUGACUGGAAUGAUGAACGUCAGCUAACUGAUCCUCUGGCAUCUCUGUGAGGGCCAAGGUCAACAUUUCUCUCCUUGUUGAAUUGCCCAUUGCCAUCUCGUACUAACCACAUACCAGAAUCUCCUUGUUGAAAGCGUGGAUGCCGAGAA